rnacentral:lncRNA from 1 species
GCCUCGGUUGCUUCUCCGUCAAAUAGAGAGGGCGCCCCAUGGCCCUUGAGGGCCCUCCCCGUCUAUGGUUCUGGGACCGCACAUGCGAGCAUCCCUUGGGUGCUGAGGGGGCUGGAGGAAAGGGGGCGGGACUGCUGCCAAGCAGCCAAUCAGGGGAGUCCGUGAGAGCCGCGCUGCCUGCCCCUAGCGGUCAAGGCCAGGAGCAGACACGCGAGGCUCGGGAGGCGUGACCUUGGAGGAGGCGUGCUCAUUCUCCGGAAGACCCCGGGAGGGGCGGCAUGGAGGGGAGCAGCUCUCAGGGAGACCUAAAGCCCAAAAAUGUUUUAAAGAAACCCCGGAAAGGCUCUUGGAGAGCAAGCUGGGGCCAGCAUGAAAUCAAACUGCUGCUAGAGGCCAUCUUCAAGACGGGCAAAGUCCACCAGAUCAUUUCGGGAAACAGUCAGAGAAAGAGCAAGCUCUGGAGAGAGGUCACUGAGACUCUGGCCAAGCGCCAUGUGGGCUACACGGCCGAGCAGUGCCGCACCAAGUGGAAGCACCUCAAGACCCAGUUCCGCUUUGAACAGGCUCGUUACCUGACGACAGGAGCCCACUCAGACCCUCUGCCGCACUUCUAUGAGGAAAUGAGCAACCUCUGGAAGAUGGCGGCCAGGUGCUCACCAAAGGCUGGGCCCUCAAAAUGGCCAAAACAACCUACCAAAGCAAAGACAGCCCUGCAACUCCAGAGGCAGAAUAAGGAAGAGGAAAUGCCUGCUCCACUCCCUGUGAAGCCUUCUGGCCCAGACCAGCCAGAAGUGUUACCUGGAACAUGGUCACAGCCUCCACAGGCAGUGACUCCCAUCACAGAGCAUCAGUCCAACGACAGUGAAACCAGUGAUGCCUUUCAGCAAGAGAAGCCUGAGGUCCCCUGUGACCCCAGAUACCAGCAGAUUGGGGAGACCAUGCUGGAGGAAUUGAGAAACCUGUCCCGAACCCAGCAGGAGAUGUCUGUGGUCAGCAUGUACAUUGCCAAAGCCCUCCAGUACCAGCAAGAACAGCUGAUCCCGGGCAUCCAUCUUCUAAAUCACAACAUGUACCAGCUCUGCCUGCUAUUGGCCAACCAGACGGAGGCCUCCCUCCACUCCGGGCCCUUUCUCCCCGAGAUGAUCAAUCCCAGCAUUGUCUUCUCUGGAUCUCCAGUUCCACAGCCUUAUCCUUCAGACUUUGAGCCUUCCGGUGGUGCCCACCCCAAGUAGGCUUCAGUUCUCUGAGAUGCAGCUCACAUUACCUUGGUUUCUUGGAAUGCAUUCUGUCUAAGUAAAUUUCAUGUGUUCCCCCUGUUUGGAAGGUUUGAGAUAAAGAUUUGGAUUCUAUCCCUCAGACUCUGCCUCUUUCA